rnacentral:tRNA from 1 species
GCCGGAAUAGCUCAGUAGGUUAGAGCACGUGAUUUGUAAUCUCGGAGUCAAGGGUUCGAAUCCCUUUUCCGGCUCCA